GGCUCCGUAGCUCAGCGGAUAGAGCGUUGGUUUCCUAAACCAUGCGUCGGAGGUUCGAGUCCUCUCGGGGCCA
rnacentral:tRNA from 1 species